UACGGAGGGGGCUAGCGUUGUUCGGAUUUACUGGGCGUAAAGGGCGCGUAGGCGGCGUGACAAGUCACUUGUGAAAUCUCCGGGCUUAACUCGGAACGGUCAAGUGAUACUGUCGUGCUAGAGUACAGAAGGGGCAACUGGAAUUCUCGGUGUAGCGGUGAAAUGCGUAGAUAUCGAGAGGAACACCUGCGGCGAAGGCGGGUUGCUGGGCUGACACUGACGCUGAACUGCGAAAGCUAGGGGAGCGAACGGG
rnacentral:rRNA from 1 species